UAGUGGCGAACGGGUGAGUAACACGUGGGCAAUCUGCCCUUCACUCUGGGACAAGCCCUGGAAACGGGGUCUAAUACCGGAUAACACCUGCCCGGGCAUCCGGGUGGGUUAAAAGCUCCGGCGGUGAAGGAUGAGCCCGCGGCCUAUCAGCUUGUUGGUGAGGUAGUGGCUCACCAAGGCGACGACGGGUAGCCGGCCUGAGAGGGCGACCGGCCACACUGGGACUGAGACACGGCCCAGACUCCUACGGGAGGCAGCAGUGGGGAAUAUUGCACAAUGGGCGAAAGCCUGAUGCAGCGACGCCGCGUGAGGGAUGACGGCCUUCGGGUUGUAAACCUCUUUCAGCAGGGAAGAAGCGAAAGUGACGGUACCUGCAGAAGAAGCGCCGGCUAACUACGUGCCAGCAGCCGCGGUAAUACGUAGGGCGCAAGCGUUGUCCGGAAUUAUUGGGCGUAAAGAGCUCGUAGGCGGCUUGUCACGUCGGGUGUGAAAGCCCGGGGCUUAACCCCGGGUCUGCC
rnacentral:rRNA from 1 species